ensembl:lncRNA
AAAUGGAGGAUGAUGAAGAAUUGGAGAGAAUGAUGCUUUCUAUAUCCCCAUCAAAACUCCAAGGCCAACUGAAAGUGGAGGAGGGUGAAGAAUUGGGUAGGAUGAUGCUACCCGCAUAUUCAUCUAAAAUUCCAGGCCAGCUGAGUUCAGAAGUUGUUGGAGUCCCAGUGGUCAAAGGUCUUAUUCUACUGCAUACAAGGGAUGAUUCUGACAUGAAUCAGGAUUAUCUGUUCUGCAUUGAUUUGUUGCUGUUUGUUGUUUAGGCCAUGUUCAGGCCUGUUCUUAUUCUUGUGUUCAAUUGUUCUACUAACAUUGAAGGCAUUUAUAUCUCAUCAUUGACGGUAAGUACAGAGUUCUUUUUUUGCAUGUUUUUUCCAUGCUUUACUUAAGAGGAUUGGUAUGUACAUGAUUUAAAGAGUAAUGCAGAAGUACAGCAAAAGUACAAAUAUGUAUUAAUUUGGACUAGAAGGAUGCAUCCCAUUUGAUACAUGAAGCUGUAGUUUACUCAUGUAAUGUAGACCCAUUCACAUACCUCACCCCUAAUAUUAUAAAGAGUCUUGACGUGUUCUAUGGGUUUGCAUGCAUUUACAUUACUAUUUAUUAAGACAUUUACUAAGGGACAGUACUACAGGGUAUUUGAAUGACAUUACAUUUUUCUGUGUUAGGGAGGCGUAAACCACCAGCAACACUCUCAAAACCAGAACGGCCUGAUGAAUAUAGUGCUACUGCAUCUCCAUGGUCAGUGACGGUUCCUUUGCCAGUAUCUCCAGAGUUGCUUGAAUUAUCUAUUAGCAAGACCACAUUGGCUUUGAGACCAGCGCAGGAAACCGUGUUCUGUCAGUCCCUCCUCCCAGUGACCACUGCACAGUCUACAACCUCUACUCCUCCCUCAGGACCCCCUGCAGCUGCUGGCCAGUCUUUCUCUGGAAUCCCUGCAGCCUCUACUGGGUACCCCUCAAUUCAGCUGGAGGAGAAUCAUGCUGUUCCACCACUGCCAAGCUAUGAGCAGGAUGUGAGCCGAUGGCACUGCUCUCAACAGCAAAGAAUCUGGAUGAAAACAGAAAUGGAAGCCUUGGGACUGUGGCCAGGUUCUAGACCGGUGAGACAUCCAAUGAACAUGAUCUCCUUGUGGCGUUACCCACCUCAGCCUGAGCUUAUUGAUCCUGUCUAUGAGCUGCCAUCACCUAAAUACUUUCAACUUCAUCCAUUCUUCAUUUGGAAACCAGAGCACACCAUUAUGGAAAGAGUCCGCAACAACUACACUCUGCCAUGUCUGUACAGCUGUCCGAAUCCCCACGUUGUCUCAUCAGGAGUUGGACGACCCCGUGUCAUUAUUGGUACAAGCAGCCAGUACUACAUUCUGGCCUCUCGGCUCAGCUGUAAAGUCUGUAAAAAGUACUGGUUUGCAGACAAACCCCAAUGGAUGGACAUGCUGCCGAGUCGGUUCUGCAACAUUUUGCCAGCUUUUCUGACGCACAAGAAGGCCAUAUGUAAGACUGUGAUGGAUGAGUUGCGGCGUACAGGAAAGUCUCCCAAUGAUAUGGCCAAUCAGUUGAAUGAAGCUCUCCACCUCAGGUAUGAGCGUGCACACCUGGCUUACUUGUCUACUGUUAAGAAUGUGCUGGAUGGAGACAGUGGAAUUUACGGUCAGCAGACCAUCACAGGGGCACUAAGAGCAACAAAUACUCCUGCCUCAUUUGGUGAGUAUGGUGAUUUGGUCGGCUGGUGUGGAGUAACAGUUUCACCCCACUAUUUGGUUGACUGCCUCAUUCAGGAGUACCAUAGGCAGGAGAGCACACUCAAUCUGCUCCUCCAAGGCACAUUUGGACAAGCCUUAAGGGCUGACCAUACCCGCAAGGUGGCCCGGAAGGUUGUGCUUGCAUCAGGUACUAUGUCAUCCUAUGCUGUGAUGAAUGAAAACUGGAUGAUCUUGUCCUGGGUGAUGCUGCAGUCUGAAAGUGAUAAAUCCCUGCAGCCAAUGUAUGAGGGGCUGUCUCUUCGUUACAUUUCUGCAGGACUGCCGAAAGCCAACUACCAGUGGGUUGACAGAGAUUGCUGUGCUGCCUUCAGGAUCCCAAACCCUGAGCCCCGGGAGCACCUCCUCUGGGAUUCUUGGAAGACCACUGAGGCUGUAGUGGCUGCGGCAACCUCUGGGCAUCUCAUCAACACCUGUGCCUCCCGCGAAAAAUAUAACAGCGACAUCAAAAUCAAGCUGGACUUGUUCCACUGCAUGCGGCGGUUCUCCAGAGAGUGUGUGUCAGAGCACCAUCCACUGCACAGUGCUUUCUGCAAGUUUCUGUCAGCAGCUUUUAGUGUUGUGGACCAGACGGACCUACAAAGACUGAAGCAGGCUUAUGUCUUCUGUGGGAUAGUGCCUGCAAAUCCAACAAAGCAGCACAUCAGGGAGCACUGCCGCACCAGGGUUCCACACCCCAAAGAGCUACUGGAGAGAGUGGAGAGCGUUCUCCAAAGAUUCUUUUUAGAAUGUGAUCCUGAUGGUGUGCCACUGUUCAAACCAUCGAUGUUGAAGGUGUGGAGGAUUCAGCGAGUCCACAUCCUCAGAGGCUGCCUGAGUGACCCAGAGGUUACAGAUGGGAUCCUCUAUAGGCAUGGUGGAACGGUCCAGCUGAACCAUGUGAAGGGGGAGGCGGCAGCUGUACCUGUGUGGAUCCCUGUGAGAGGCACUUCUCAGCAGGAGGGGUUCCAUUUCCAUCAGGCCAGAUGGGUCACAGGCACUCAGGUAUCCACAGAACUAUUCCAGGCACAGGGCAUGAUUGGAGUGGCUCGUUGGAAUUUCCAGCGCCUUGUAGACCUGAAGCAGCCUGGAGUGAAGCUGCCUGCAGUUUUUGAUCCUGUGCUGAUCAUGGAACUGAACAAGCUCUCAGACAUGGUGACAGGCCAGGCCAAGUACCCUGCCUUACUUGUCUCACAGACAGACACCAGAGAAAGGUUUGGACUGCAGUAUGUGGAGCCUGGUUGUCGUCCUGUCCCCCUAGACUGGGCCAAGCACAAGUCCCAGAAGGUACCUGUUGCAGGGGAGGGAGAGCAUCAGUCCUCAGAGCCGUCUGCUCUCAGUGAGAGAUUCCCACCUGAUGACCCACCUGAGGAGGUGAGGGAAGAACACUUUGCUCAGGAUGACAUCUUUGGUGUGGCUUCUCUUGGCUCACAAACAAUGAUCCAGCCUUUGCAGCCCACCAAAUUAAAAGAUGAGAUGACACCACCACUGCCCUUUGCUCCCUCUCCACGAGCUGCUCGCACAGGUCCCAUCAAGGCAGGCGGUCUACUUUUUGUCCUGGACCAUUUUCGGUGGACAAAGCCCAUGAGGGAUUCCAUUGAUGGCCUUCUGGCAAAGUACCAUGGGCAGAAAGACCUUCUCACCCAGGUGGAUGCAGAGUAUGCUGCCCUUGUGCAGGCUGCCUCCAGGGAUCCCAAUAGCCUCUUACACCCCACCACGAAACAGCAUAUCUCACGUUAUGUGAAACACCUGGCCAAGAUAACGAACAGAAGUUCAUCCCUGAACACCAGUUCAGAGAAGCUCCUGGAGACCCAGAAGCUGUGGCAUCACCUCACAGAAGGUAGUGAAACUGUAAGUGUUCCAGUGGUAACCCUCCCACCUGCCCCAGUGAACCCACCCAGUAAUAAGCCCCAGGAGUUACCACUAACUAAGGGUGAGGUUGAACAAAUGGUGAAAGAGAUUGUGGAGAAACAACAGCAACAGCAGCCUGUUACAAAGAGGACACGGAACUGUCUUGCUUGUGGCCAGCCAAAGUCACGUUACCUUGGUGAUGGGUCCUCCAUUCAUUUUUUUUAUCAGUCUGGGGAUGUGAAGUACUUUUACUGCUCUACAAAGGUACACCAGAUGUAUGCAGCGGAAGGCCUCACCAAUCCUCGAAUGCCAUUUGCUGACUUUGCUGAAACACCUUUUUUUAAACGAGAGCUACAGGCCGCAAAGCAGCGUUCUGCAGAGACAAGACAGGUAAUAGAGGAGCGGAGAAAGAGAAAGUCCAUGGAGCAGCAUCCCACUGGUCGCCUCUGUAGGUUCUGCCACAAGCCACUAAAACAAGGCCCAGAGAGUCCACACAUACACACUGGGUUCCCUGGUGUGGCAGGGAAAUAUGUCUAUUGUCCUGCCAGAGUGUUUUCCUUAUAUCAGACAGAGGGGAUGACUCACGAGAUGACUUGGGGAGAGUUCUGUCAGUCUUCCUUUUAUGAGACUGAAAGGAAGAGAUGGGCAGCAGAAAAGGGAAAGUGACUGCCCUCAUGUUUCCUGGUUUUAAAUGAAUGUUUAGAUGAAGCAUCCUCUGUCAAGACCCAUCCUCCGCAGAGUAGGUCACCCUAAAGACGGUCUCAGUCCACCAAAACAUCACACCAGACACUUUGACAGCGGAGGAUCAAAGGUCAGAAGGGUUUCUUCCAGAUGCAGGUAAAUAAAUUAUUCAUACAGGCACUUAUGUGUGUAAACUGUCUGUCUCAUAUGUGCACAUAACACCAAGACAAAUAUUGCAAUAAAGUAAUCCUGUUCAUCUUCUGUAGAACACCACACCAUCGGCCAUAACUGCGUCCCUCGUUCAGCUCACACUGGACCCCUCAGAACGGCUGGUCUUCGUGUUGGACCAUAGAUGGACAGAUCUGCUGAGAAUUGCCCGUGAAGAUCUCUUGGCAACGCACCAUAGGAGCAAGGAUCUUCUUCAACAGGCCGAAGGCUUGUUUUUUGUUGUUGUUGUUUUUCUAUGUUUUCCACAACUUUAAAUUGUAUUAUUAUUAAUAUUAUUGUAGCUGUUGUUGUUUAGUCUACAAUUUUAAAUUAUUUAAUUUAUUUCCAGUUGUUAAAUAAAACAUCAGAAGUAUUGGCCUUGUUUACACUGUACUUUAGUGUGUUAAUUAAUUGUAUUGACUUUGUAUUGUUAUUUUAUCUUGCUCAGUUUUGUAAACACUAAAUGUUAGUAAUGGCUAAUAUUAAACUCUGUAAAUAAUUAUUUUAUUUAAAAUACUCUACCAGUCAAAUGUUUUUCAGCAGAAAGAUUUGUAAUGUUUUUUGAGGAGUCUCUUCUGCUCACCAAGCAUGCCUUUAUUUGAUCCAAAGUACAGCAAAAAAAAGUAGCAUUUUAAAUAUUCUUACUAUUUUAAAUCAGCUGCUUUAUAUUAGAAUAUAUAGAGUAAUUUAUUUCUGUGAUGCUCCGCUGUAUUUUCAGCAUCAUUCCUCCAGUCUUCAGUGUCACAUAAUCUUCAGAAAUCAUGAAAAUAUGAUGAUUUACUGCUCAGAAACAUUUCUGAUUAUUAUUAUUAUUGUUGUUGUUAUGUUAUGUUGAAAACAGCCGAGUACAAUCUUUUCAGGUUUCUUACAUGAAUUGAAAGUUUAAAAGAACAGCAUUUAUCUGAAAUGUAUGUGUGUGUGUAUAUAUAUAUAUAUAUAUAUAUAUAUAUAUAUAUAUAUGACCGUGGUAUAUGUAUGUAUGUAUAUAUAUUUUCUUUUUUUUUUUUUUUUUUUUACAUUUGGCCUUGUUUGAACUGUAUUGAACUGUGUGUUAAGUUUUAUUGAUUAAAAAAUGUAUACAUUUUGUUGAUUUUCUUUUUUAUUGAUAUUAAAUUUUAUUGACUUGCUCAGAUAAUUCAAUUCAAUUCAAGUUUAUCUGUAUAGCGCUUUUUACAAUACAAAUCGUUAGAAAGCAACUUUACAGAAAAUUAUGUUUCUACAAUAUUUAGUAAUAGUUUAUUAGUGGUGACUGUCAGUUUGUGCACCUAUAACAGGAUUUGUAGAAAAUAAUGCAAGACGUAGUCAGCCAGAUGAUGAACAUUAUUAAUAUUAUUAAUUAAUAAUUAUUAUAUGAUGCAGUCACACUUGUAGCAAUAAUUGUUAGUUCUGUUUGUUGAUUCAGGGUUAGCAUCAUCUGGGGUCCUCUGAGGGUCAGCAUCAUCUCUUCUCAGGUGUUCUGGAUCCAGACUGGAGCUUGUGUAAAUCCUAGUUACCACUGGAUGAAGAUCCCAGCAGAAACAGAGAAACACAUAGAGACAUCAUUAGCAUAGCUGCUGAUAUGUAAACACUGAAUGUUAAUAACUGUUACUAUUAAACAUACAUAAUUAUUUAAUGUAAAACAUAUUUUUAUUGUUUUUUUCUGUUCUCCAGAUCUUUAUUUUUAUUAUAUUUGUUGCUGUUGUUUAAUAAUCUAUGAUUAUUUUAUGUAUAUUUAUUUAAUCAUUAUAUAUUUUGGUUCGUUUUUCUUAUCAUUUUUAUAAUAAGUAUAUUACUUUACUAUAAAUAAAAUGGAUAACUUAAUUUUUUGUGAGUGUUAGUUAUAUUACAUAUAUAUAUAUAUAGGUUUUCUGUACACAGUUAUACAAAUAUAAAUAGAUGUCUCUUUAAAAAUAAAGGCCUGAAACGUCAAAAUGUUCUUUUUAAUAAUUCACAAUUUUCUAUAUUAAAAAUAACUAUUCCCUAUUAUAAUGUAUAUGUUUCUUAAGAUCGUUGCACAUUUUGUACACCAUACAAAAGAACAAUUAUUACAAGAUUUAUUUUAUCUUUGUUCACAAAGUUCGUCUAUUAUAUGUUAAUCGUACUUAAAGUGUAUCUAGAUGAAAAAACGAAAACAAACUCAUUGUAUGGUAUUUGUGGCCAAGACGGGAUUCGAACCUCUAAUUCUGUGUAUUUUUUUCGCCCCGCCUUCCUUGAAUUUCCUUCGUUCCUAUUGGCUAGUUAGCGCUCUACACCUAUCCGUGACUGGCCUCUGCGGCCUUCGCGUGUAAAGCAGACGUGAUAACCACUACACUAUGGAACCACUUGUAUAUCACAGAUUGUGUGAACGGGGAAAAAACACACUGACCACCAAACUGGCCGGUCCACAGCUUCGAAUUUAACAAAGCGUAAGAGCCUUUGUUUGUUGUUGAGUUUGGCUCCGUUUUCUUAUCAUUUCUUAUCAAAGCGCCAUGCGUCCUGUGGGAACCAAAGUCAUCCCGAGCCGAGUCUGUCCAAAGUGCAAGACAACUUUGUUGUACAAAUUGCAUUAAAUUUUAAAUGUUUCUUCUCUUACUUCAUAAUAUUUUUU